UUUCGAGCGUGCGGCGUUUGAGCGCGAUCCUCUUUCCACGGUGGGCUGCACGCACGCGCAAGCCCGCCCGCAUUUUCUUUGAUAGAAAAUGAUCAUGACUGCCAGCGGGAAAACGCCCGUUCCGGGUUGGUCAACGGGCCAUAAUGCGCCAGUUUGCGUUUAGGCGCAAAGAGACGCACCCAUUCUGUGGAAAGAAAAACAAAAGAUUUGGCAAAUGACCAUACGAUGGUAGAGCCUGAUGGUGGGUGCAAGGAAAGUGUUUUUUGUUGUUGUUUUUUUGCUACCUGAAGGACCAGGAGAUGGAAUAGUUGGACCACUGAUUUCCAGUACAGAGCUGCCUCCAGGUAGAAACUCCUCGUUCUGACCCUCUUCGGAGACGGUAGCACUCUCUGAUCCAUCUGCCUUAGCCUUCCGCACCCGCUUUACCUGGAAGGUGAUCUAAACACAGGGAGAAAUAACCAAAAACACAUUUAGCUAAUCUCAAAAAUCACUUAAAUCACUUUUCGUCAACUAUUGUUAAUACUUAAGAGCAGCAGCUUUAUUUCCACACUUACCCACUCUGCUCCAUCAUCAUCCUCACAGUUUCCAAAACAUGGUCCGCUUCCAGCACGGGCCCCCAUGACUCGGUCGUUCUUCAGCACUCUUAUACCUUGAUGAAGACAUUUUAGAAGUUCCUGCGUUGGAGGGAGAUGCCUGCUGCUGUGUCUUUGCUUCACCUGAGCCAUUACUGUCCAGGACGACAUCUGGACAAAGAGACAGAAUUAAAAACAAAACAAAAAUUUCAUGAGGAUCAAAAUGUCAUCUGCAGUCAACAUUUUUAGCCAUUACAGAUUAUUAACAAACUAACAGCACUAUUAUGAGAGUAAACUAACAAACAAAACGGUUUUCAGCUCUGGUAAUAAAUGCAUGAAAUGUUUAUUUCUAUAUAAAACUUUAUGUCCUGUUUGCCUCUUUGUCUCAAAUACUGAUGAAAAUCUGUUGUAAGGAAAUAUCAAAAUGAGUAGAACUGGAAGCAAUGUCCUCAUACUAAUGGAUCUUUGAUGUAACAAAAUAAAGAAAAGUUGACAUGCUUUAAUUUUUGUUUUUUUAUAAAAUGAAAUGUGAAACCUCAUAAUACUAAAUGAAC